ensembl:lncRNA
GUAGAUGCCAAGAGUCUACUGUUGUGCAGGAUUUCUUCUAGGCUCCGCAAGAGUAUAGAAAAGAAGGACAGCAUCUCUGCUCUUGAGGAACUUACAAACUAGUUCAGGAAGCAGUAUAUCCUAGAUGUUAAAACACAGCAGUCAAGUCAGCCAGCCCUCAUCUGAAUCUCAGGUCUACCAUUUCUUAGCUGUGUACUUUGAGUCUCAUUUUUUUCAUCCAUAAAAUGGGGAUGAUAAAAGUAGCCAUCUCAAAGGGUUAUCAUGAGGAUUAUGUUACAAGAUAAAGCACUUAGCAAUGCCUGCACAUAGUAAGUAUUCAAUAAAUGUUAACUAUUAUUAUUAUUAUUAUUAUUAUUUUCUUGCUAAGGAAGAUUCACCCUGAGCUAACAUCUGUGCCAAUCUUUCUCUAUUUUGUAUGUGGGUCGCUGCCACAGAAUGGCUGCUGAUGAACGGUGUCAGUCUGCGCCUGGGAACGGAACCUGGCCUGCUGAAGUGGAGCAUGCUGAACUUAACCAUGCUUUGUAGCAAAGGAGUGGGAACGUGGAGGAGGAUGGGAGAAGCGAGCUGACUGUUACUGAGUGCCUUUAAGUGUCAGGCAUUGAGCCCACAGCUGCUUCCCGUGUGCAUCAUUAUCGAGGAUCCAAGGAACCAAGACAGAUGAACGAACACAGUGCAAAGAACCCGAGCUGUAGCUCCAGCAGAUCUGAGUUUGAAUCUUGGCUCCAACACUCAUUCGUUGUGUGGCCUUAGCAAGGAUUUGACCUCCUCAGCCUCGUUUUCUCAAGUUAUAGAGGGGGUGAAGAAAUUGGACCCAGAGAGUUGAAGUAGAUUGCCCAGAGUCAUAUGGGGCGUGAUCUGGGUGAGCACUGAGUUCCUGGAUUCAGACUUUAUGUAACAAUAAUGCCCUUAGAUGCCCUCUCCUACACUGGGCCCUGAACUUUAUGGGACCCCCACUAUGACCCUCCUCCAGCCAUGCCUCUCCCUAUGGGUCAGGAGUUUGCAGGGCCCAGGGAUGCACCUGGAGCCCAUGCACCUCUUCUAGAACAUUCUCUGGCUACCUAAAGAAUUCUAGAACAUUGUCUAGGUACCUAGAGAAUCUCUAGAGUACCUAGGAUUCCCUGCCUGAAUGGCCCCAAGCCUUUUUCCAGCUUUCUUCAGGCCUCUUUCCCUAGGCCAUCCUACCAAAGGCAGAGGUCACAGCCAGUAUGCCCAGUCUGUACAAAGAGUGGCAUAGGGGUGGCUGUUAGUGGGGUGUGAGGAUGGAGCUUGGGCAUGUGGGUUGGGACACGGGCAGGUGGAGUAGGAGAGGGGAGGAGAAGUCCAUGAACCCAGGGCUGAGCCUAUGGGUGAGGGGGCUCUCUCUGUGUAGCAGAAUUUAAGGAGGGUGAGAGUUCUAAAUUUGAGCUUGGCCUUCUGAGUCAUUGUGAAUAUGUAUUUGUCAAGAUAGGGUGGUAUAACAUAUUUUGUUUGUUAGCUUGAUCUAUAACUUUUAAGUAUUAGACCUAUGUAAAUGGGGCUCUGUUUGUACUCUUGUGCUGGGGUCCCACAAAUGUUAGGGGUGGCCUGCUUCAUGGUGAUCUGUUAUGAGAGCCCCAAGGAGAACUCCGUUUAAAAAGACAGAGAAUCACUCACUGAGAUGACUGGGAGAGCGAGGCUGCGUGUUUCUUGUUCCUAAUGCCCC